GCUUUGCAGAGUCGAUGAGACGUGGUCUUCUCAUCUUCGCAACUGGAUCUUCACAAGUAUCACGUGCAUCGAUUUGAGGACGUCAAGAUCUGUAAUCGCAAUUAUUGUAAAUUCGACCGAGACCAUCAGCUCGACAAUCAUGAACAGAGACGCUCUACCACCAAACUUUUGCCCGUACUGAAAAUGGGUGCUCAAUACGCCAAGCAUCCAAGGCUAUCGGGUUUUCCAAGACUGCCUUAAGAAAACAUCUAAAAACUGGAAAACGAAUGAGUAUCUCGGCCGAUUCACAAAAAUUUUUCAUUGGAGGAAUAGUGCAGCUCUGCAUUUCUCUGGAUACGCGUUUUUGUGGUCUUACCCCAAGAUCAUUACAUUUGCUAUUUGAAUUGGCCUUGUUUUUGCAUUUAUUUAUUUGUAAUCCUCUUUAUUUUCAUCAUUUGGGGGUAAAGGUACUUACUGUCUACUCUUUGCCCUGGCACGUGUGUUCUUACCCCACUGCGUGGGAUAAGAGUAUGCAAAAUUAUUUUUAGGAAAACUGCUCUAAUGACAAUGACAAUGAAACUAUUACACAAUGUACCCAGAUGUGAGACUAGGUACUGCAUGCGUAAUUGAUGUAAUAUUGUUGCGAGUUUUAAAAAUAUGUCGUAAAACCAAGAAAUAUACUUUUACCCCCUCACCCCCGCACCCUAGUUACCUGUUAACAUGAACGAUAAUAGAUAUAUUUUAGAAAAACAACAUUCAUAAUACCAGCAAUUGUACUGAUGAGUAAAGGAAUGAUAAUGAAAAUGAACAAAAUGACUGAUA